ensembl:lncRNA
ACUUUCUUUUUCCAAUUAUAACCAGUCACUCCCAUUACUAGUGCAGUGACUGCCAAUCCUAUAACUUAUUUUACAACCAUGAUUACUUUAAGACAAGCUAGCAAGUACAAACAUUUUCUUUAGGAAAUGUAAUUUUCCAUGUAUUAUUAUUUUCUCUUAGAUUCGGCACAGUGGGAGUUUUUGUUAAACUGAUAUUCAAGGUCAAAACACCAGUCCCCACUGAGGAUGAUGUCCUUGGUGCCGUCAAGAAACAAUUGUCUCCUCAAUUCACGACCACUCAAACCACCUUCCAGAAUGCAACUUAUAUCAAACUUACAGAUACUUCAUUUGCCAUCGACCUUGGUUUCAAAAUAACCAAUGUAACCCAGGAGUCUCUAAGUAAUAGACUCACACUCACCAAUGAGACCGAAACCCAGAUACAGGAUUCAAUUAACAGACUAGUAAGAUACUGUACUUCUUUCUACACAUAAGAUACAUCCAUGGUCAUGUUCAGGUCAUGAUAGUAAUUGACAACUUGAUGUUUUGUCCCCUUUUAGCUCCAAAAGGUUCUCAGUGAACCAGAUGGCAAACAGUUUAAAUUUCCCAACGCCAACCUCAUUGUUGAUGGCACUGAAAUCACGGCAAACGUGACAUAUGUAUACAAAGAGGAAGAUGUCAACCACCCUAGUGGUUUUCUACAGGAAGUCUUAAAAGUCUCAGGUCUCCUGACCACCACUGUUGCCCCAACAACAACUACCAACUCCACACCACUUCCUACCCUUUUGACUUCAGUGACAUCAACAACUAGAUUCGGCACAGUGGGAGUUUUUGUUAAACUGAUAUUCAAGGUCAAAACACCAGUCCCCACUGAGGAUGAUGUCCUUGGUGCCGUCAAGAAACAAUUGUCUCCUCAAUUCACGACCACUCAAACCACCUUCCAGAAUGCAACUUAUAUCAAACUUACAGAUACUUCAUUUGCCAUCGACCUUGGUUUCAAAAUAACCAAUGUAACCCAGGAGUCUCUAAGUAAUAGACUCACACUCACCAAUGAGACCGAAACCCAGAUACAGGAUUCAAUUAACAGACUACUCCAAAAGGUUCUCAGUGAACCAGAUGGCAAACAGUUUAAAUUUCCCAACGCCAACCUCAUUGUUGAUGGCACUGAAAUCACGGCAAACGUGACAUAUGUAUACAAAGAGGAAGAUGUCAACCACCCUAGUGGUUUUCUACAGGAAGUCUUAAAAGUCUCAGGUCUCCUGACCACCACUGUUGCCCCAACAACAACUACCAAAACCACACCACUACCUACCCUAUUGACUUCAGUGACAUCAACAACUAGAUUCGGCACAGCCGUGGUUAUUGUUAAACUGAUAUUCAACCUCAAAACACCAGUCCCCACUGAGGCUGAUGUCCUUGGUGCCGUCAAUAAGCAACUGUCUCUUCAAUCCAAGACCACUCAAACCACCUUCCAGAAUGCAACUUAUAUCAAACUUUCAGAUACUUCAUUUGCCAUCAACCUUGGUUUCAAAAUAACCAAUGUAACCCUGGAGUCUCUAAGUAAUAGACUCACAUUCACCAAUGAGACCUACGUCCAGAUACAGCUUUCAAUUAACACACUUCUCCGUCAACUUCUCAGUGAACCAAACGGCAACCAGUUUCAAUUUCCCAACGCCAACUUCAUUGCUGAUGGCACUGAAAUCAGGGCAAAUGUGACGUAUGUAUACAAAGAGGAUGAUGUCAACCACCCUAGUGGUUUUCUACAGGAAGUCUUAAAAGUCUCAGGUCUCCUGACCACCACUGUUUCCCCAACAACAACAACAACAACAACAACUACCAACACCACACCACUUCCUACCCUUUUGACUUCAGUGACAUCAACAACUAGAUUCGGCACAGUGGUGGUUUUUGUUAAACUGAUAUUCAAGCUCAAAACACCAGUCCCCACUGAGGAUGAUGUCCUUGGUGCCGUCAAGAAGCAAUUGUCUCGUCAAUUCAGGACCACUCAAACCACCUACCAGAAUGCAACUUAUAUCAAACUUACAGAUACUUCAUUUGCCAUCAACCUUGGUUUCAAAAUAACCAAUGUAACCCUGGAGUCUCUAAGUCAUAGACUCACAUUCACCAACGAGACCUACAUCAAGAUACAGGAUUCAAUUAACAGUCUACUCCAUAAGGUUCUCAGUGAACCAGACGGCAAACAGUUUCAAUUUCCCAACGCCAACUUCGUUGCUGAUGGCACUGAAAUCACGGCAAAUGUGACGUAUGUUUACAAAGAGGAAGAUGUCAACCACCCUAGUGGUUUUCUACAGGAAGUCUUAAAAGUCUCAGGUCUCCUGACCACCACUGUUGCCCCAACAACAACUACCAACACCACACCACUUCCUACCCUUUUGCUGACCACUCCUUUCAAUACCACAAGUGUUGGAGGUUUUCCUGGCUGGGCUUUGGCCAUUAUCAUUCCUUGUGGCAUCGCUAUCAUUCUGGUACCGCUGUGGAUCCUGCUAUGUUGUAUGCUAUGUGGCUGCUGUGCAGCUGUAAGGAGACGCUGGCACAGACGCAGAUCUUACAAUGUACAGUACACCACCAGAAAUGGACUCUUCUGAGGUGACAACACUAACAUCAGUAGGCAACUGUCAUCACAAGAACAGUCAAUUAUCUAUCUAUAUCUGCUAAUCAGGAGGUUUCAUUGGGUACUUGCAUCUAUUUUUUUAACACAAAAAGAAAAUUCAUAAUGGGCUUAAUAAUCCACAGGUGUUUUGUGCAUUGUACAAUUUUUUAUAUUAUACAUCUGAUUGUUAAUCAAAGUUACAGCUGAGCUGAACAGCAUGUAUGUUUAUGUAUUUAUUAGCUAUGUAAUUUAUGUGGUUUCAAGCUGUGCUGUCCACUGACUAAAACAGUUUUCAGUUAUUUAUUGAAUGUAUAAUAAGGUAGAUAAAAAUAUUAAUUUGAGUUUUGUUAUUUCCUCUCUUGAUUAACUAUUAACUAACUUAUUUUCAACUGCAAUACAGUACUUGUUUCUUCAUCACACAGUUUGACAAAUGUAAUAAAGACUUUGCAAAUCAGUAUUAAGAAAACAUUGU